CUCGGUCCCUGCUUGGGAGAGCUGUCAGUGGAUUCUGACGUAUGAGGGAUAAAAGGAGUCCCUGCUGCAGACUCCAAUAAGCUCAAGUCACGGCCCAAAAGCACUGACUUGGGCAUCACUAUGCUGUGUUAGAAAAUGUGUCAAUUAUCAGAUGGACUGCCUACGGGGAUUGCCUGGGUCUAGGCCAUAAAACCAUCAAGACUGAGGGGGGCAAAAAUUGAUGAGGAACGACUCUCAAGAAAAACCUACAAUGAAGGGUUGGAAAGAGAAUGAAGAGCUAAUGAAAGAGACAGAAAAAGGAGUAUUUGGGGAUUUAGAAGGAGAAACUAGGGCAUUGUCUUGCCUCUGAAGUCAUGAGAGAAGAAAACAUCCAGCAUGAGGACUGGGAAAAAUAUCAAAA